GUUUGCUAAUGUGAACAUUCUGUCACGAACAUCCUUAGACACACUUGCGGAGGCAGAUGUGCGGGAAUUUCUCCAGGGCUAUUCUAGGGGCAAAACUGCUGGGCUGUGGGGUUGACGCAUCUGCACAUUGACGAGUCUUUAGGGUUUUCUCGAUAUAAGAUCAUGUCAGCUGCAAAUUUUACUGCAAAAAGAGGGAAUUUUGGACAGAGAGACACAGAUAGAGGAAGAACACCAUGUGUUGAUGAGGGCAAGAUUGAAUCAAUGUGUCUAUAAGCCAAGGAUUGCCAGGAGCCACCAGAAGCCAGCAGGAGACAAGGAGGUUCUCUCCUAAAGCCUCGGCGAGAGGAGGACCCUGCCAGCACUCAGAUUUCAGAGUUUCCAGCCUCCAGACUACGAGACAAGAAAUCUCUCUCAUUUCAAGCCGCCCAGGUUGUGGUCCUUUGUUAUGGCGGCCCUCGGAAGGCAAGGCGGUGCUGCUGUGGUCUAGUGGCUCUAAAUAGACAAUAACAACCUAAUCAAUCAUUCUCAUAAAUCGUCUGAGAAGUCAGAGGCAUCUAAGACUAGUGAGGAAAAGCAGGGACCAUCUGUGCAGAAGUGGGCAAAGGAGACAGAAAGAUCCCAGGGUAACACGUGAAUUUAAAAGAGGAUUAGCAUUUGGAAUAUUUUUCAAACAUUCAAUUACUUUUCUGAGAUUUUAUCAUUGGGUUUGUGAAUUAAUUAAACAAGCCUGCUUCACCUGCAGAGAGCCAGCGAGGGUGCACUGGGAAGAUCGUGGCUUUGGAGCCCUGGAGCUCAAUGUAGGCUCCUCCACUUACCAGCUGGUGACUUGGGGCAAGUUUCUUAAUCUACACGAGCCUCAGCUUCCUAGGAUGCCGGUCUCCAGGUUUGCCAUGAGGACUCAGUGAACUGAUGUUUGCGGACUGAACGCCAGAAGAUCCAGCUGCUGGUCCUGCCCUAACAGUAAUUACCCAUCAGUAAUUCCCAGUGUGCCCUGGGCAGGCGUCCUUCUUCUAUGUGACUCAGUUUCCCAGUUGUGAGAUUAAAGAAUGAG